CAGUCGCCGCGGUAAUACGAAGGGUGCAAGCGUUACUCGGAAUUACUGGGCGUAAAGCGUGCGUAGGUGGUGGUUUAAGUCCGUUGUGAAAGCCCUGGGCUCAACCUGGGAAUUGCAGUGGAUACUGGGUCACUAGAGUGUGGUAGAGGAUAGUGGAAUUUCCGGUGUAGCAGUGAAAUGCGUAGAGAUCGGAAGGAACAUCUGUGGCGAAGGCGGCUAACUGGUCCAUAACUGACGCUGAGGUGCGAAAGCGUGGGGAGCAAACAGGAUUAGAUACCCCCGUAGUCCCUGUCUCUUAUAC
rnacentral:rRNA from 1 species